GAAGAAGAGCAAAAUGGAGAUCUGAUUAACACCAGAGAGAGACCAGACUCAGAGGAACCAGAGACGUCUGAACCAGCAAGACGACACCACUGCUCCCAGUGUGGAAAAAGUUUUACCCAAUUACGGACACUGAAGGUGCAUGGAAGAAUACACACUGGAGAGAGGCCCUACCAAUGUUCCCAAUGUGGAAAGAGUUUUGCCCUGUUAGAGAGCAUGAAAAUACAUAAUAGAAUACACACAGGAGAGAAGCCUUACCAAUGCUCCCAGUGUGUAAAGAGAUUUUCACAGUUAAGUUGCCUGAAAUCACAUGAGAUAAUACACACAGGAGAUAAGCCUCACAAAUGCCCUCAAUGUGGUAAUACUUUUAAGCGGUUAAGUAACCUGAAGGACCAUAAGAGAGUACACACAGGGGAAAAGCCUUACCACUGUAUCCAUUGUGAAGAGAGUUUUAGCUGGUCAAGGCAACUGAAAGCGCAUGAGAGAACACACACCGGAGAGAAGCCCUACCAAUGUUCCCAGUGUGGAAAGAGUUUUACCCAGCUAGGGAGCCUGAAAAUACAUAAUAGAAUACACACAGGAGAAAAGCCUUACCAAUGCUCCCAGUGUGGAAAGAGAUGUAAACGGUUAAGUUGCCUGAAAUCACAUGAGAUAAUACACACAGGAGAUAAGCCUCAUAAAUGCCCUCUAUGUGGUAAUACUUUUAAGCGGCUAAGUAACCUGAAGGAACAUGAAAGAGUACACACAGGGGAAAAGCCUUACCACUGUUUCCAAUGUGAAAAGAAUUUCAGCACAUUAAGGCAACUGAAAGAGCAUGAGAGAACACACACCGGAGAGAAGCCCUACCAAUGUUCCCAGUGUGGAAGGCGUUUUAACCGCUUAAGUAACCUGAAAUCACAUGAGUGGACACACAGGAGAAAAGCCACAUCACUGAUCUGUGUGGAAAUAGUACCUCAUCAGGCUUCCUGAAGAUUCAUGAGCAAAGACACACGAGAAAAGCCUUUCCACUGCUCCCAGUGUGAAAUGACAUUUACCUGGUUAAGGCAACUGAAAUCACAUGAAAGAAUCCACACGAGAGAGAAAUGUUAUGAAUGCUCUCAGUGUAGAAAGAUAUUUACCCAGUUUAGGCACCUGAAAGACCGAGGUUACCCUCUCAGCGGAGAAGCCUUACCUAUGCUCCCAGUGUGGAGAGCGAUAUUUCACAUACUUACAAUUCAUGACGUAACACACACAUUGCUCCCACACUUGUCUCAUCUUUUACUGAAAAUUGGUGCUUUGUGGUUUUGUUUAUGCCCUUAUUUCCAUAUGAAAUCAAAUUGGAGAAAACCUACUCAAAAAUACAUUUGUAUGUUUUAUGUUUUAAAAUCCCAAGAUAUGAAUUGAAUAUGGAGUGUGUCUGUUUUUAUGUAGAUUAUGUACACACUGUGAUUAAAUAGUCUUUUUUUUUUUACUCUGACACUGUUUUUUGUGGGGGGUUUUAAUCAAGUGUUAUAUGUUGUUAAUCGAGUGAUAUGUUGUUAAGCGUGAUCUGUUGUUUACAUAUGUGAUGGAUAUUUAUCUUAGAGAAUGUGGCAUUAAAGCCCCCAUUCAGUC